GGUCCUAAGGAAGCUCGGAGUGCUUCGUUUGAAGGAUUUGGACGUCGGGAUCACGAACUAUUACGUGAAAAAUGGACGUAAGAACAAGGAGAAUGACAAGUUCAAAGUUUGGCCGGAGCUUUCGAGGCUUUUUCCGGCGAAUCCACGGCGAGUUAGGGGUCAAGGCAGAAAUUCCGGCAAAACACCAACUCCGGCGAAACCAGUCCGGCGACGCGAGGAAGAAGACG